AGAGCGAACGCUGGCGGCAGGCUUAACACAUGCAAGUCGAGCGGGCGUAGCAAUACGUCAGCGGCAGACGGGUGAGUAACGCGUGGGAACAUACCUUUUGGUUCGGAACAACACAGGGAAACUUGUGCUAAUACCGGAUAAGCCCUUACGGGGAAAGAUUUAUCGCCGAAAGAUUGGCCCGCGUCUGAUUAGCUAGUUGGUGAGGUAACGGCUCACCAAGGCGACGAUCAGUAGCUGGUCUGAGAGGAUGAUCAGCCACAUUGGGACUGAGACACGGCCCAAACUCCUACGGGAGGCAGCAGUGGGAAUAUUGGACAAUGGGCGCAAGCCUGAUCCAGCCAUGCCGCGUGAGUGAUGAAGGCCCUAGGGUUGUAAAGCUCUUUGUGCGGGAAGAUAAUGACGGUACCGCAAGAAUAAGCCCCGGCUAAACUUCGCGCCAGCAGCGC
rnacentral:rRNA from 1 species